UUGGCCGUUUUUUUUUUUUUUUUUUUUGGAUGUACUCCAAGGCUUGUAAUGCAGGUCUUCUUUGAUAAUGGCCCACAGUAUGUGUAAGAGCACUGGGCUGCAGCCAAGGUACACAAGCCUGGUGGUAAUAGUUAACCGGGUGGACAAACAGUGGAAGUCAGCGGCGUGGAGGUAGGUCAGAGAACUGCAGCAGACAGAUGUGCUGUUACACCCCCGACGCACGCACACACACACACACACACAACCUUACGCCCCCUUAUCCUCACUUCCCCCCAUGUUCUCCAUCACAGCCUGAUCCUCCCGCCUUAUCUCUCUCUGUUAGGACCGACAUUGCACUUGAAGACUCGGCCCUUCGCUUAGCUUUCAGAUUUGGACUGCAGCUUUCUGAACACGCUGCUGACUCAUGUGGGACACAGAGAAAAAGAUGGCCACCACUAACUUAUCUUUAUAUCCCCUUGUAGAGGUGGAAAUAGUCAUUUUUUUAACAGCUUUUAAAAAUGAGAUUACAUUAAUGUCUCAAUUUGCGUGCUGCAGAAUUUACAUUUCAAGUUUCCGCUGCAGCAGAGGCAGAUGUAGACGUCGCUUUGCUCCACACAAAACAAACAACAAAAGAAGAACCUUCUUUUUUUUCCUCAAUCUCUCAACACGGGCAAAAAAAAGACAUGGCUGGUGCUUUUUAUGUCAUCUGUGUUUCCAAGACAAUUAGUGGCUUACCAAAUCACAUCUCAUUUGACAUAGAUUAGCAGUGUUACACUGGCAGGCUCUGCGUUUAUCUGUCUGCUGGUGAUUUGUCAUGGUCAGGGUUCCCCCGCCCCAACAGAAGACAAGUCGGCGGAGGUUCGAUGUUUCUGUGCGAAGGUGCAUGCCUUGCUUUCGGCCCGACGCCUCAGACGGUCCAAGGACUCGGAGAGCGGCAGACGUGUCAUUACGCCGAUCCUCUGCCGACCUGUUGCUAAUCUCAGAGCGAAGCAGACCAAACACCAAACCGCACACGGCUCUGCUUUGGUCCUCAGAUCUGGCUUUCGGGAGGAGGGGAGGGGGGACGCUGUAUAGCGUGAAUGCAGCGCUAGCCUCAACCUAAGGCCCAGAACAAAGAGUGACACCAUGCUCCGUUCUGCUCCCGCUCUGCAAUCAACGGGGGUUGAAAUAGCAGCCUUUGAAGGGAACGAGGCCCGACUGCUGGAGCCGUCUCAAAGUAGAAAACGAGCCAUUCUGACGCUAAAAAAGCCUCCUCUGUCAGCCGUCAAGGUGCCACAGUCUUCCUCAUCACCGCUCUUAUCAGUGCCAACAAAAACGGAUCCCGUUCCUGGACUGGCAGCCAACAGCACGUGAAUUAGCAUUGCGUCUAGAAAAAAAA